UAGGGAUCUAAAAGAGUUGAGUUAUUACCGACGACAACAUGACCUGAUGCUAGGAGCUUGUCAGUGGUUUUAUGUCAGUUGGAAAGGAUCUAUUUUAAACUCUGGGAAAUAUGUCUCUUUUAGUUGAUUGAGGUCAGUUCAGUUGAACACAGGUUUUUCUGUAUGUAAUAUUAUUUGUUUAGUAAAAAGCGAGAGCUGGCUAGUAGAGGUUGUGACAAACGGCGAGUAAACUCUAGGCUAUGGUGUAGGAAUAAAGAGAGUCAUAAUUUAUACAAGCUAUAAGCUCCCAGUAAUGUAUUUGGUAAAAAAACUAUUGGGUAAUGAACUAAUGGAGAAAUUAUCGGUCAAUGAAAUCAUGAUAUCAUUCUAGAGAGGAAUUAAUUUAUAUUUUGUGCCACAUAUCGCUGCAUGUUUUAGCAGGUAUCUCCACACCUCGGCAUGUUUUAGCAGGUAUCUCCACACCUCUGCAUGUUUUAGCAGGUAUCUCCACACCUCGGCAUGUUUUAGCAGGUAUCUCCACACCUCUGCAUGUUUUAGCAGGUAUCUCCACACCUCUGCAUGUUUUAGCAGGUAUCUCCACACCUCUGCAUGUUUUAACAGGUAUCUCCACACCUCCACAUGUUUUAGCAGGUAUCUCCACACCUCUGUAUGUUUUAGCAGGUAUCUCCACACCUCCACAUGUUUUAGCAGGUAUCUCCACACCUCUGUAUGUUUUAACAGGUAUCUCCACACCUCUACAUGUUUUAGCAGAUAUCUCCACACCUCCACAUGUUUUAGCAGGUAUCUCCACACCUCUGUAUGUUUUAGCAGAUAUCUCCACACCUCUACAUGUUUUAGCAGGUAUCUCCACACCUCUACAUGUUUUAGCAGAUAUCUCCACACCUCUACAUGUUUUAGCAGGUAUCUCCACACCUCUGCAUGUUUUAGCAGAUAUCUCCACACCUCUGCAUGUUUUAGCAGGUAUCUCCACA